UUGGAACUGGAGCUACAAGCGGUUGGGAGCCACCAGUUAUAAGUGCAGGGAACAGUUCUCAGAUGCCCUGUAGGAGUAACAAAUGCUCCUAACCACUGAGACAUCUCUCCAGCCCCUGAACACCUCCUAAAUAGGACGAAACCCGUCUCUUCUCAGGCAGCGGUCAUGUCCCUACAGAAGGUCAGGUGAGUGAUGACGCUUGCGGGUGCCGGGAGCCUGAAGUAAAGGGAUUGACACUGGCCCUCAGAGAGCCCUCUCUUUGUCCCCUCAGGGAAGGUGACAUAGGAAGUGUUUAACUGCCUGUGUCCAGAGCUCAAACGCAAUAAGCAGUUCCAGUGUGGACUUGGCUUUCCUGCCCACACACUAGAAGAUUCCAGACAUAACAGUUCUCAAAUCACCCACCUGGGGCUCUGUCCUGCAUCCUCAGGAGAUGCCAAUAUUUUAAGGCUGUCUCUCAUUUCAAACUAGGAAGGUUCAGGCCCAUCCUGGCUCUGUAGUAAACAAUACAUUAGCAUUAGCUCAGGAGCCAAACAGAAUGGCUCAGGUGUGUAAUCCCAAACGGGGUGCGGGUAGGCGGAUCAGGAAUUGGAAGUCAUCCUUGGCUACAUAAUGAAUUUCAGGUUAGCCUGGAACACAAGAAACCCUGUCUAACCAAGCGAUCUCCACUCCCCUCACAUCUUCGAAAACAAAAACAAUGUACUUGUUAAUGACAGAUGUCAAACACCUGCCUAGAACCUGGGAGUUUAGCAAAAUUGGCAAUGCACCUGCCGCUGACUUUGGACUGCCACCCCUACCCAAGCAAGCUGCUCCAGAAGAGCCGAUUUGACUCUUAAGGUCCAGGUCCAGUUCCCACCAGCCUUUCUACAGACAUACAGGGGAGUAACCUGCUCUGGUGCCUCCACAGACCAACCUUGAGUGUACUGCCUGCACAGAGUUCUGCGGCCUCAGUUUCCCCACUUAUUAAAAGCAGGAGGAAGAGGCUACCUCCGGACCGGUUUGAGAAUUCCAUGUAUCAAAAGUGAGUCAAAGGCUAGCACACCCCAAGAACCCAGCCCGUUCUCACAAGGAGGGGCAGGGUGUAGGUGCCGAGUCAAUGGUUGUACCCGGCAGGAUAUGGCAGUCAGAGCAACGUGGGCACUCCCAAAAGUGAGUGUGGGUCAUAGUUGCCAUGGAAGUGACUGUGAAGGACACUUGUGGAAGCUGGAGCCGGCAGCACCUGCUGCGGGUGGCGUCCGGAGGGGGCCUGGGCAUGAGUCAUUAUCCAGCAAUGAGGCUGAGUCACAGGGCGGGGUCCCCCGGCACCUCCCCCCCCCCACCCCCCCACCCCCGCCAGCCGCUCCUACAAAGGACCUUUGAGAAGAGCUCCUCAUCCCCACCCAACCCCAAGGCCCUCUCUGGUCUUAGUUGUGGGACCAAGACACUGUGGGCUGUCCCCAGGAGCCUGGCCUGGUAUCUGCUACAUAUGUAAAAAGUCACCAUCGGUGGCCUGGCAUCCACAAAGAGGGGGCUUCCUGGCCCCUGAGUCACUGCCAGGACAGCAGAGGAUCAUUUUCGCAGGGCCCAUGCACACAACAGGCUAAUUGAGUCAGUCUGUCUAGUGCCCUCGGGGAAAGCGGGUGGUGGGGGCAUCUAUCUCCCUGUUUUUCAGGACCACUCCAGCCUGAGAAGGGCCUUCUCUCCUUGAGACCUUGGAGCCUUCUCAGCAGCGACACAGACAAGUAUAACAGGCCUGGGGGCACCCAGAAGCCUCCACAUGGGGGCAAGAUUUAAGAAGGGGCCAGAUACGGGACACAUACCUUUAGUCCUAGCACUCAGGCAAGUCACUUUCCCUUUGUUCAAAGCUAGCCUGAGCUACAUAUUGAGGCCCAAGCCUGCCAGGAAUGCAGAACCAGAUUCCCAUGAGUACCUGGAGAGAGCAACAGCCACUCUUCUUCCAGAGGACCCAGGUUCAAUUCCCAGCACCCACAUGGCUGCUGACAAGCAUCUAUAACUCCAGCUCCAGAGGCCCAGUCGUUCUCUUAGACAUGCACACAGGCAAAACACCAGUAUGUAAUAAUAAAUAAAUGUGAAUGAAUAAAUAAAACUUUAAAGAUUUAAUAAAACAUAAAAAUUGAUCAA